GCACUGCUGAGGAGUCCCACAAUAGGACAGAACGGCUGUCCAGUGC
rnacentral:hammerhead_ribozyme from 1 species